UGGGAAACUGGGGAUAAUCCCCGAUAGUCCUCGAAGGCUGGAAUGCAUCGAGGGCGAAAGCUCCGGCGCCUAAGGAUGGGUCUGCGGCCUAUCAGGUAGUAGUGGGUGUAGCGUACCUACUAGCCUACGACGGGUACGGGUUGUGAGAGCAAGAGCCCGGAGAUGGAUUCUGAGACACGAAUCCAGGCCCUACGGGGUGCAGCAGGCGCGAAAACUUUACAAUGCUGGCAACAGCGAUAAGGGAACCUCGAGUGCCAGGUUACAGAUCUGGCUGUCGAGAUGCCUAAAAAGCAUUUCAUAGCAAGGGCCGGGCAAGACCGGUGCCAGCCGCCGCGGUAAUA
rnacentral:rRNA from 1 species